GUUCUUUCAGCUUAAUAAAAACCCUAAUUGAGGAGUCUCUAGCUGCUUGCUCACACCUGCUUUUACUCUGUGAGUUGUACUUUUGCUUCUUCAAUAAAUCUGUGCCUUUGUUACUCCGUUCUUUUGUUGUUUUGCUUGUGCGUUUUGUUUAAUUCUUUGUUUGAAACCCCAAGAACCUGGACAACUCACAGUCAAGACCUUCCGUCCGGUAACAAAGCAACAGACCUCAGUCAUGUCAUCUGCUUACAAAGGAGCCACGAAUCAAGACCGAUUCCGUGUGCUCUUGACGAUUCUGUUACACUCCUGCAGGGUAUCGCUCUGCCUCCCAGGCUGGAGUGCAGUGGCACAAUCACAGCUCACUGCAGCCUCGACCUUCUCGGCUCAAGCAAUCCUCCUACCUCAGCCUCCUGAGUAGCUGGGAUUGCAGGCAUUCAUCACCACACCCAGCACCAGGCCCAGAGGCCUACCUGCAGAACCAGGAGCCUUCCCAGAGAUGCCUGUUGAUGGAUGGCUACACUGAGAACCUGAAAUAGCGUGCAAAUAACUCUCUUCUCUGUACUUGAAGCCAAAUCGCAUUCCCAGGCAGACAUAUCCAGCGGGGAAAGAAGAAACAAGAAAAUGAAUGAUCCACUUGCACAAGAAUCUCUCCUAUGAGCAAGUGUUAGGUGAGGGUGGGGAUAAGAUGCCUGUCUCGGGAGACAAGGCUGUACAAAUUCAUAAUUUGAAUUUUUAUGGUUAAUUUUAUGGUUAAUUUUAUGGAAUUUUAUGGUUAAUCUUGGAUAGUGGGAUUUGGGAUAAAUUUGCUUUUAUAAUAUGUAAUUGUAUUUUCUGAAUUUUCUACAGUGAACUCGUAUUGCUUUUAUGAACAGGAAAAAG
rnacentral:lncRNA from 10 species